AUUGAACGCUGGCGGCAUGCCUUACACAUGCAAGUCGAACGGCAGCACGGACUUCGGUCUGGUGGCGAGUGGCGAACGGGUGAGUAAUAUAUCGGAACAUACCUUGUAGUGGGGGAUAACUAUCCGAAAGGAUAGCUAAUACCGCAUACGAUCUAAGGAUGAAAGCGGGGGAUCUUCGGACCUCGUGCUAUAAGAGUGGCCGAUAUCUGAUUAGCUAGUUGGUGGGGUAAAGGCUCACCAAGGCGACGAUCAGUAGCUGGUCUGAGAGGACGACCAGCCACACUGGAACUGAGACACGGUCCAGACUCCUACGGGAGGCAGCAGUGGGGAAUUUUGGACAAUGGGGGCAACCCUGAUCCAGCAAUGCCGCGUGAGUGAAGAAGGCCUUCGGGUUGUAAAGCUCUUUUGUCAGGGAAGAAACGGUUGUGGCUAAUAUCCAUGGCUAAUGACGGUACCUGAAGAAUAAGCACCGGCUAACUACGUGCCAGCCGCCGCCGUAAAAC
rnacentral:rRNA from 1 species